UAACUGAUUUACCAUGGCAACUAGAGCCGCGUACUUUUCCCCGUCGGAAGCACAAAUCCUCAUGGAGGCAUACGAGGAGGUAAAAGAUAUAAUUAAGAAGAAAGGCAACACCGCCACAGUAAUAAAGCAAAGAGAAAAAGCGUGGCAAAGUAUUGCAGACCGCCUGAAUGCAUUAAACAUGAAUGGGCCAAAACGGACAUGGCAGCAGGUCAAAAUCAAAUACAAGAACAUUCUGCAGAAUGCAGUGAAAAAGAAUACCCACAGACAAGGCACGGGUGGUGGGUCACCAAAGGCUGACCUUACCCCAGCAGAGGACAUGGCCUUGGAGCUAAAUAAAGGCAGGCCCGUCUUAGAGGGGAUCCCUGGGGGGAAAGAGACGAGCAUAGGUUCCUCCCAAGAUGCCACCCGCUUCAUUCAAGUGUCUGGCAGCACUGUGUUCCUGUUAGAGCCACCAGCACAAGCACCAGACGAUGCUGAUCCAGGUGAAAGCCCCAGUGCAGCAGCAACAGCACAUGAUGGAGACGAUGAUGAGGAGGAGACCAUCUCUGUGGAUUCCAGAAGGCAUGAG
ensembl:lncRNA